UUGAAACAGUGACUUGCUUUU
ensembl:piRNA 21ur-9590 ncRNA